ACAGCCUUCUUGCACUUAGCUUGCAGAGGCAACCUUCCUUGUAGGGAUCCUUGUUGUACAGAUCCAAGGCUGUGCUGCCUGCCCUACUGUCACUUGGCACAGAAGCAGCUGGGCCGGUGUUUAAAGCUAUUUUCAUGGUUGGAUUGAUCACAAUAUGUUUGAUGCCAGCCACACCUUCUGGAUUUACCGAAUAUCUAAUUCCCUAUAUAUUGUAGUCACUUUAGCUAGUUUUGACAAUUUAUAUAAUUUUUCUCCUAUGAUUAAUAAUUUCCUACUUAUAGACUUGAAACUUAGAAUAACAGUGAAGUUUCCAUCUCACAAUUAAUCUUGAAAAUUGCUCACAUGUGUAUCCAUGGGGCCCUUGAAAGUCUGACCAGCAAAUGUGAUUUUUUACUCUUGCUUUUUAAAGUUUUAUGCCUCCAGUCUUGAAAGCUUACCAACCUUGUCCUCGCACUCAGAGUCCUGUGCCCCCACCCACCUCCAUGAUGAAGUCCUUAUUGUUGCUGCAGCUUUUACCAUAGUUUCCCUUCGGCUGUCACCCUGCCUCCGACUCUUCCAACUGGUUGAGUAUGGGGGACACAAUUCCUAUUGCCAUGGCUGGAAGACAUAUAUUCCUGGAGUCUCAAACUGAAACUUCACAUACAUCUUCCCUCAGAAAUGAUGACUGGGUAUAGUCAAAAUAGUUCUCUGUUAGUUCAGGAGUUGCAUAGGUUAAAUAUAGGCAUAUCUAGACAAAGCUAUAAACCUAUCCACCAUUAAUUUAUGACAUUGUUUCUACAAGAUAAUUUAUUCUGAGUUUCAACUAAACAAUGACCUUGGAAUAUGUCUGUUUUGUAAAUUUGAAACUGCCUAUAUUAGAAUUCUAGUAACUUGCAUUCUUUAAGUUGGCAGUAACUAGGCAGCAGAGUGAAGUGGCCCAUGUGUGUGUUGGGAAGUAGUGGAGAAGCUGACCUACCAUGAAAAUCCUGUAGCUGAUCUCCAUAGAGUUUGUAUCCAGAUACUCAAGACUGGAAUGCACAUGCAUAAGUGGCCCAGGGCCUGCUAACAAAGGGCAGGUGUAAAA
rnacentral:lncRNA from 10 species